GUUUGAGUAAUGCAAUUUGCUUGUCGUCUCCUCCUGAUCCAGAUGAUGAUG
rnacentral:sRNA from 1 species